UUAGGUAGAAUAGGAUUAUGUUUAUCUUAAAUGUCUAAUUGUGAUAGAUAGUGCGACCUAUGUAGGUAAGGUCACCACUAGCCUUACAUGUAGAAGUAGCUCCAUGGGUGGAUUAUAGCCGUUUCCCCCACAAUUUCAGGUCGGGCACAGGUGUUUCCAGUCAAGUGCCACCGCCGCCUGCGCAUCGACAAGACGAAAAGUGCCAUCUACUGACAAUGUAUGCAAGUACAUCACAGGGCAUGAGACACGGAGCGAAAACGAAACGACAACUUGACACUGCAAUAGUGCUCUUGAUACAGCGUUGUUUAAACAAAUUAAGACGUUUCAUUUCAGUUGUUGGAAAGCUUAUUGCUGCUGGAAGAAAAUGUUGUUCAGCCCUUUGCAAGUCAUCUUUAGGCCAUAGCAAGAAACUUUUACAGAUGACAUCCUCUUCAGAUUGCAAAGAAUAGUGAGAUGGGGCGAAAGAAUACAAGAUGGUACAAAUAAAAACAAGAUGGCUACAUUUUCAAAACAGACACCAUAAACGUUGUAACAAGAAUUGAAGUGAUGAAACAUGGUAUCACAGCCAACAAGGCAUUCACUCCUGUAUUCAAGAUCUGUGUAGAUCUGUGUCAUUCAUAAAAUUUACUCUGAAAUGGGUCCAUAAAAUUGAGAACUACUUUGUUCUAUUUCUGACCACUUCCUUUUGUGAUGACUCAUUCUCGUUUAUCUACCGGAAUCAAUACAUCAAUGACAUAUUAUACUGUCUUCCUGGAUGUAAUGCUAUCUAUGUAUCUAUAGCAGACGCUGCUGGUAAUAUAAGGGAAGUAUGAAUGAGUCAUCAUAUCCUUCAUUGCUAGGCAUUGUAAUCACUUGGGAAACCAUCAUACUUCCAAUCUAGCUUUCCAUUUAUCGUUUAGGCAGAGACCCAGGAGUUACAGGAAAUGCAUUGUGAGCAAAAAUCUUUAAAACGUGCCACAGGGAAAAUCCGAAACUUUUUUCUCUAUCACAAAUGACCAUACACUACAUGCGAGAGCAUGCGUGCAAAACUCAUUAGUCCAGCCCCUUGUUACUUGGGAAAAACGGAGUGUUUUGUUUGUGGAUGACGAGGUCGUCUCUAUAGCGAGAGAAAACUCAAUAAUCUGAGAACAAUGGACACCUUCGUGCUGGGAUCACGUCCGAUUACGCCGAGCUGUGGUUUCGCGGGUACGCAAGUGCACCAACUCUCACGGCAAAGCUUCAGUCUGGUCUCCCAAUCGAGCUACUGAAAAUCGACGGCUUUUCAUCUUCAAGCCGUGACGAAAGUACACAGAAGACGGGGUGUUAGCGUUGCGCAACAUCAAGAGUCAACAGGCGGGGACUUUCAAGCCAAAUUACCGUGAAGUGUACCGAAAGGUUGGCCGCGGAUGACUUGACGUGUUGGAAAAUUAUCAAUCCAGCUUAUAACUGCCCUAUCACCACCGACCGAAAUGCCGGGAGCAACUGGAAAAUGAACAAUUAUUUCAAUGAGAGUCCGUUCCUGAAGACUAGUGCCUACUGUGGCUAAUUGUACAAGAGCAAUGCUUAACGGCUUGACAGCUUAACGGAUGUGACAGUAUUUACUCGAUAGGUUGGUGUGUUGAAGUGUUUGUUCUCGGUGUUUUGUUGGAUCAACAUCAGUAACCAGGACCCUUGGGGUCAAAAGUUGCUCAAACAGAGACUGGAAGACACUAGGAAUAAUUUAGACCUGUUUACGCCAAAACGACGCCACUGUAACGUUCUGUGAGGCAUCGGUAACCACGUCAGGGGAAAUACCAACACAGCAGCAGAACCAAGCCGAAGCCUGGUAGCGGGAAGAAGACAACAUUUCCGUUUUGCAAGAUGCUCCUUGCUGUGAUACCUUUUGAAGACCAAGGAAGCUCCCAAACGACCCCACAACCCAACAGCGUUACUACGUUGCUACUUCGUUCAUUCAACGGCACUUUCGUGAUGUCAUCAACACCUGCCGCCAACGUCACGUUACAAACUGAUGACGCCAUCAUGUCGACCGUUUCAACGUUUCAAGCCAAUGCGAACACAACGCAGGGACCGGCUGCGCCUGAGCCCAUACAGGAAUUCCCUGUGGUGCUAGCUUUCGUUAUCGUUAUGAUUGCCAUUAUCCUACUAACCGUUGCGAUCAGCAACUGUUGUAACAAACUUGCAACCUGUAUGCACGAGCGAGAAGUACUCCGCAAGGUGGCGCCCCUGUUCAAACCCAACAAACCAAAGACUCGGGCAGCAUCGUACUGGAGAAAGGCAGUCAACAAAACGAAGAUACAGAUACAGCCAGCUGAGACGUCACACAGUCAAGAAGAAACUCCGGAAGCAAGCAAAACCGAGGCGAACAAAGACGGUUUAGAACACUUAAAGCCUCCUUCAGAAGAUGUUCCACACCCAGGACGUAUUAGGCUCCCUCCUAUACAAACAGAUAGUCUAGCAGAAAAUGUUCCUACAAUAUCAGAGACUAUCCCAAAUAUGGGAGAAAAUAGAUACAAGAAACUCAUAUUGCCUAACACGACAGUGUCAAACGAAAAGGGGCUAUCUUGUACAUACCCGGCACAAGUAUACAGAGAGAGAUUCGAAUGUGACCGGACGGAACUAAUAUGAGCAAAGGGGGAGUUCAAUACGUGCUGGUUUUAAAAACUGUUCACGAAAAGCCAUUCACUGAGUGAAUUUUCACCGUGGAGAUACAUGUCAUCAUUCGUUAAGAAUGCUUUUGAGGUAAUUUAAGAGAUAUUUUCAAGAAAAUAUUGCUGCUGAAAAAUGAUAUCUAAAAUGUAUGUGAUUAAAUGGCUGAUUGUUGCGUGUUAAAAAUCUGAUAUUUUCAACUGUUGGCACGAGGCUUUAUUCACUGACUUUUCUGCCAAAGUAAUAUAUUCAAGAAACUCUUCUUGGUGCCUUAUAUACCAUGUGCAUGUACAGUGAAUGUUCAAUGUCAACACACGGUCACUGGUGCGUGUUUCAUACUUAAAAUGCAAAUGACGACAAAGACUGUCGCAAAUAUGACUUUUUAAAGUCA